UACGGGGGGGGGCAAGCGUUUGUUCGGAAUUACUGGGCGUAAAGGGCUCGUAGGCGGCCAACUAAGUCAGACGUGAAAUCCCUCGGCUUAACCGGGGGAACUGCGUCUGAUACUGGAUGGCUUGAGUUUGGGAGAGGGAUGCGGAAUUCCAGGUGUAGCGGUGAAAUGCGUAGAUAUCUGGAGGAACACCGGUGGCGAAGGCGGCAUCCUGGACCAACACUGACGCUGAGUGAGCGAAAGCCAGGGGAGCAAACGGG
rnacentral:rRNA from 1 species